rnacentral:rRNA from 1 species
UACGUAGGAGGCGAGCGUUGUCCGGAAUUACUGGGCGUAAAGCGCGUGUAGGUGGUGGGACAAGUCUGCUGUGAAAGCGCCUGGCUUAACCGGGCGAGGUCGGCGGAAACUGUCCGACUCGAGGACGGUAGAGGGGGGUGGAAUUCCCGGUGUAGUGGUGAAAUGCGUAGAGAUCGGGAAGAACACCAGUGGCGAAAGCGCUCUGCUGGACUGCAACUGACACUGAGGGACGAAAGCUAGGGGAGCGAAAGGG